AUUGAACGCUGGCGGCAGGCCUAACACAUGCAAGUCGAGCGCGAAAGUCUUCGGAUGAGUAAAGCGGCGAACGGGUGAGUAAUGCAUGGGAAUCUGCCUGGUAGUGGGGACAACGUCUCGAAAGGGACGCUAAUACCGCAUACGCCCUACGGGGGAAAGGGGGGAUCUUCGGACCUCUCGCUAUCAGAUGAGCCCAUGUCAGAUUAGCUAGUUGGUGAGGUAAAGGCUCACCAAGGCGACGAUCUGUAACUGGUCUGAGAGGAUGAUCAGUCACACUGGAACUGAGACACGGUACCAGACUCCUACGGGAGGCAGCAGUGGGGAAUAUUGGACAAUGGGGGCAACCCUGAUCCAGCCAUGCCGCGUGUGUGAAGAAGGCCCUAGGGUUGUAAAGCACUUUCAGUGGGGAGAAAGGUUAUUCACCUAAUACGUGAGUAGAUUGAUGUUACCCACAGAAGAAGCACCGGCUAACUCCGUGCCAGCAGCCGCGGUAAUC
rnacentral:rRNA from 1 species